AAAAAAAAAAAAAAGAAAGGAGGAAAAGAGCAGGGACAUUUCUGAUGUCAUUCUCCAGCAAUUAAUCACAGAUCAGUAAAAAGUUCAAGCGCAGAACCUGUAGCCUUAUCUUGGUUUCUAAGUCUCAGUGUGAUCUACAGAACAGCCCACUUAGGAGAAAAUGCAUUCACCUCCUGGCUGACUCAUCCUCAGACAUUUGCCUUUCGCCUUUAUUUGUAUUUCUGCUACUACGGAACCUCUGCUGCUUUGCCAAAAGCACCUUUGCAGGACUCGCCAAUCCCUUGUUUCUGCAGCAGGACCAGAGAGAGACUUGCUGCCCCCUGAAAUUACAAAUCCUCCACCUGUGAUUUCUUAAAAUGUUUUCUUGGGAAGAGGAUGAGGAAAUUAUAUUCUCUCAGUUUACUUCCAGAAAUUGGAAAGUUUGCUAACUUAGGCUGAGAGUUACAUCUGUUUACAUUCACUCCAUCUAGAGAUAGGUAUUCCUCUGAUACUCUGCAGGUAAAGAUUAGGAUAAGGCACAUCACUACAGACAUUGGGAAGCUCCAUUUUUGAGGACUGUGCAUUGUACAGUUGAACUGAUUGCAUGAAGAAACAACAGUAACUUCCUGUGAGCUGCAGACCCUGUUCAGAUUGCUGGCUUCACGAGCCUACAAGCCCCAGUGCAGUGUACAGACACACACUAUCUCACAUUAUGUGAAUUGAUGCAACUCCCUCAAAAUAAAAUAAAAUAAAAUAAAUAAAACAAAGCAACCAAAUUCUCAACAUUUUCCUAAUUCUAUUUUGAGUUUUACAUUAUUAUUUUAUGUAAAAGAACAGUUCCAAGAAGAUAUUAAUGAGGAUAAGACUUUAUCCUCAUUUCAUUAUCAGGAUAGCAUGUCUUUUCAAAGUGAGCAAAGAAAUGGAAAUGAGCUGGAACUUACCAGUAAUAAGUGUGAGAUUAGGAUCUUUGAGCAACAACAAGGAGGAAGAGGAAACAACAGAGGAAGGAGAUGAACACCAGUGCAUUGAUUGAUGGCAGGAUUACUGUAGCCCACCAGAUAGUGUGAUCCUAUAAAUGACAAAAAUGAUCACGGGGACAAUAAAAUGUUGACAAAGAAAAGGAAGAAUUAGGACCUUUCUACAAGGCCCUAUGCACCUCACCUGAAAUCCUUUAGUCAUCUGUGUCUGCCACAUUCAGACAGAGUCAAAUUGGGAUAGGUGCAGAGGAAGACUGCGAUGUUAAGCAGUUUCUAUUAUGAGUGUCUUGCUUUAUGAGAUUAAGAGCCUGCUAAAUAAAGCCAGUCUUCUGUCCUACAGCAUGUCCAAAGCUGUGGGGGUACUCUCAUAGCCUAUGAAUUCUUCCCAUUUUCUAUCAAGCCCCACUUCCAAUGGGAAGCAGGUUUUUCUUAAAUGGAUUUAGGAGAGACCACGUACCCUCUCCUGCAUCAUGGGUCUAAGGGGUGGUGGCAAAAAGUGCAUCAAAUAGAAGCACCCCAAGCCUUAACCCAUCAGGAACAGAGGAAGCUCGGAUUCAGCCUUUCCUGCUGCUCCUGCAGAUUUCUGCUGGUCUCCCUUUGCUUCCCAGAACAAACACAUCACUAAAGGUCAUGUUUUUCAUCGGGGACUGCAAGUUCCUGCACAGGUUGUGCCCAGGGCAGAGCUGCGGUGCAGCGCCCCAUGUCCUCACCCGCUCUCACUUCCCUGCAAGGAGGCCAGCGUAAUUGGCUUCCUAUUUUUGCUCUUGCUACAGAAUGCCUGAGAAGGAAAAGAAUCUUUUCUAGGAGGAAGCAGGUUUGAAAAAGAAGAAACAUGUCCCAAGCCUACUGAGCUCAGUGACUACAGGGAUAUGCCCCCUUUACACGUUUAGACACUUAAAGGAGGUGCUCCGAGUCUUCCUCCUGGUGUCCCUGUGCACUGUAUGGACACUGUCUCCCAGAACCCUCUGUGUGUAAUCCCUACUGUGCAGAGCUUCAGACAGAAGCAUGCUGUCCCAGCGCUGGCUGUCAUGAGUGGGCAGAGAAGUACCCGAGGGAGGCAUGGGGCAGGAAAUUCAUGCUUGAAAUCUCUGUAGAGUAAAAAAGCACACUUGGCCUGGUUAGAAAGUUGAGUUCCCAGUGCAGGCUGAAGAAUGCAAUGCCUUCACAACACAGCAGCUCAUAUUUACAGCUGGGAGAAAGUGUUCUAUAUGGUCUGGCCACACUGUCCAAGGAGCACUGGAUCCCUCAGAGAAGCAUGACC